rnacentral:rRNA from 1 species
UACGUAGGGUGCGAGCGUUGUCCGGAAUUAUUGGGCGUAAAGGGCUCGUAGGCGGUUUGUCGCGUCGGGAGUGAAAACCAUGGGCUUAACUCAUGGCUUGCUUUCGAUACGGGCAGACUAGAGGUAUGCAGGGGAGAACGGAAUUCCUGGUGUAGCGGUGAAAUGCGCAGAUAUCAGGAGGAACACCGGUGGCGAAGGCGGUUCUCUGGGCAUGACCUGACGCUGAGGAGCGAAAGCGUGGGGAGCGAACAGG